CACGUAGGGUGCGAGCGUUGUCCGGAAUUAUUGGGCGUAAAGAGCUCGUAGGCGGUGUGCCGCGUCGGCCGUGAAAACCUGCAGCUUAACUGUGGGCUUGCGGUCGAUACGGGCAUCACUGGAGUUCGGCAGGGGAGACUGGAAUUCCUGGUGUAGCGGUGAAAUGCGCAGAUAUCAGGAGGAACACCGGUGGCGAAGGCGGGUCUCUGGGCCGAUACUGACGCUGAGGAGCGAAAGCGUGGGGAGCGAACAGG
rnacentral:rRNA from 1 species